rnacentral:rRNA from 1 species
AUGAACGCUAGCUACAGGCUUAACACAUGCAAGUCGAGGGGCAGCAUGUCGGUUGCUUGCAACCGAUGAUGGCGACCGGCGCACGGGUGAGUAACGCGUAUCCAACCUACCCUUGUCCAUCGGAUAACCCGUCGAAAGGCGGCCUAACACGAUAUGCGGUUCUCAGCAGGCAUCUAACGAGAACGAAAUGUGAAGGAGAAGGAUGGGGAUGCGUCUGAUUAGCUUGUUGGUGAGGUAACGGCUCACCAAGGCGACGAUCAGUAGGGGUUCUGAGAGGAAGGUCCCCCACAUUGGAACUGAGACACGGUCCAAACUCCUACGGGAGGCAGCAGUGAGGAAUAUUGGUCAAUGGGCGAGAGCCUGAACCAGCCAAGUAGCGUGCAGGACGACGGCCCUAUGGGUUGUAAACUGCUUUUAUAUGGGGAUAAAGUGAGCUACGUGUAGUUUAUUGCAGGUACCAUAUGAAUAAGGACCGGCUAAUUCCGUG